AGCAGCCGCGGUAAUUCCAGCUCCAAUAGCGUAUAUUAAAGUUGUUGCAGUUAAAAAGCUCGUAGUUGAAUUUCGGGGUCAGUAGGUUGGUCAUGCCUCCGGUAUGUACUGGUCUCACUGAUUCCUCCUUCCUGAUGAGCCGUAAUGCCAUUAAUUUGGUGUUGCGGGGAGACUGGACUGUUACUUUGAAAAAAUUAGAGUGUUUAAAGCAGGCUAACGCUUGAAUACAUUAGCAUGGAAUAAUGAAAUAGGACGUUCGAUCCUAUUUUGUUGGUUUCUAGGAUUGACGUAAUGAUUAAUAGGGAUAGUUGGGGGCAUUAGUAUUCAAUUGUCAGAGGUGAAAUUCUUGGAUUUAUUGAAGACUAACUACUGCGAAAGCAUUUGCCAAGGAUGUUUUCAUUAAUCAAGAACGAAAGUUAGGGGAUCGAAGACGAUCAGAUACCGUCGUAG
rnacentral:rRNA from 1 species